rnacentral:rRNA from 1 species
AUCUGCGAUAAGCGCCGGUAAGGUGAUAUGAACCGUUAUAACCGGCGAUACCCGAAUGGGGAAACCCAGUGUGAUUCGUCACACUAUCAUUAACUGAAUCCAUAGGUUAAUGAGGCGAACCGGGGGAACUGAAACAUCUAAGUACCCCGAGGAAAAGAAAUCAACCGAGAUUCCCCCAGUAGCGGCGAGCGAACGGGGAGGAGCCCAGAGCCUGAAUCAGCAUGUGUGUUAGUGGAAGCGUCUGGAAAGGCGCGCGAUACAGGGUGACAGCCCCGUACACAAAAGCGCAUGUGCUGUGAGCUCGAUGAGUAGGGCGGGACACGUGGUAUCCUGUCUGAAUAUGGGGGGACCAUCCUCCAAGGCUAAAUACUCCUGACUGACCGAUAGUGAACCAGUACCGUGAGGGAAAGGCGAAAAGAACCCCGGCGAGGGGAGUGAAAAAGAACCUGAAACCGUGUACGUACAAGCAGUGGGAGCACAGGUUUACCUGUGUGACUGCGUACCUUUUGUAUAAUGGGUCAGCGACUUAUAUUCUGUAGCAAGGUUAACCGUAUAGGGGAGCCGGAGGGAAACCGAGUCUUAAUUGGGCGUUAAGUUGCAGGGUAUAGACCCGAAACCCGGUGAUCUAGCCAUGGGCAGGUUGAAGGUUGGGUAACACUAACUGGAGGACCGAACCGACUAAUGUUGAAAAAUUAGCGGAUGACCUGUGGCUGGGGGUGAAAGGCCAAUCAAACCGGGAGAUAGCUGGUUCUCCCCGAAAGCUAUUUAGGUAGCGCCUCGUGAAUUCAUCUCCGGGGGUAGAGCACUGUUUCGGCUAGGGGGCCAUCCCGGCUUACCAACCCGAUGCAAACUGCGAAUACCGGAGAAUGUUAUCACGGGAGACACACGGCGGGUGCUAACGUCCGUCGUGAAGAGGGAAACAACCCAGACCGCCAGCUAAGGUCCCAAAGUCAUGGUUAAGUGGGAAACGAUGUGGGAAGGCCCAGACAGCCAGGAUGUUGGCUUAGAAGCAGCCAUCAUUUAAAGAAAGCGUAAUAGCUCACUGGUCGAGUCGGCCUGCGCGGAAGAUGUAACGGGGCUAAACCAUGCACCGAAGCUGCGGCAGCGAACGUAUCACCCAAGACAACUUUACGGAGUUGACGAUUGACGGAGCGAAGCGACGUCAAAGCGUUCAUUAAAGUCGAGUUGGCUUAGGGAUACGUUCGUUGGGUAGGGGAGCGUUCUGUAAGCCUGUGAAGGUGUGUCGUGAGGCAUGCUGGAGGUAUCAGAAGUGCGAAUGCUGACAUAAGUAACGAUAAAGCGGGUGAAAAGCCCGCUCGCCGGAAGACCAAGGGUUCCUGUCCAACGUUAAUCGGGGCAGGGUGAGUCGACCCCUAAGGCGAGGCCGAAAGGCGUAGUCGAUGGGAAACGGGUUAAUAUUCCCGUACUUGGUGUUACUGCGAAGGGGGGACGGAGAAGGCUAUGUUGGCCGGGCGACGGUUGUCCCGGUUUAAGCGUGUAGGUGUGUGUUCCAGGUAAAUCCGGUUCACUUUAACACUGAGGCGUGACGACGAGGCACUACGGUGCUGAAGCAACAAAUGCCCUGCUUCCAGGAAAAGCCUCUAAGCAUCAGGUAACAUCAAAUCGUACCCCAAACCGACACAGGUGGUCAGGUAGAGAAUACCAAGGCGCUUGAGAGAACUCGGGUGAAGGAACUAGGCAAAAUGGUGCCGUAACUUCGGGAGAAGGCACGCUGACACGUAGGUGAAGUGAUUUACUCAUGGAGCUGAAGUCAGUCGAAGAUACCAGCUGGCUGCAACUGUUUAUUAAAAACACAGCACUGUGCAAACACGAAAGUGGACGUAUACGGUGUGACGCCUGCCCGGUGCCGGAAGGUUAAUUGAUGGGGUCAGCGCAAGCGAAGCUCCUGAUCGAAGCCCCGGUAAACGGCGGCCGUAACUAUAACGGUCCUAAGGUAGCGAAAUUCCUUGUCGGGUAAGUUCCGACCUGCACGAAUGGCGUAAUGAUGGCCAGGCUGUCUCCACCCGAGACUCAGUGAAAUUGAACUCGCUGUGAAGAUGCAGUGUACCCGCGGCAAGACGGAAAGACCCCGUGAACCUUUACUAUAGCUUGACACUGAACAUUGAGCCUUGAUGUGUAGGAUAGGUGGGAGGCUUUGAAGUGUGGACGCCAGUCUGCAUGGAGCCGACCUUGAAAUACCACCCUUUAAUGUUUGAUGUUCUAACGUGGACCCGUAAUCCGGGUUGCGGACAGUGUCUGGUGGGUAGUUUGACUGGGGCGGUCUCCUCCUAAAGAGUAACGGAGGAGCACGAAGGUUGGCUAAUCCUGGUCGGACAUCAGGAGGUUAGUGCAAUGGCAUAAGCCAGCUUGACUGCGAGCGUGACGGCGCGAGCAGGUGCGAAAGCAGGUCAUAGUGAUCCGGUGGUUCUGAAUGGAAGGGCCAUCGCUCAACGGAUAAAAGGUACUCCGGGGAUAACAGGCUGAUACCGCCCAAGAGUUCAUAUCGACGGCGGUGUUUGGCACCUCGAUGUCGGCUCAUCACAUCCUGGGGCUGAAGUAGGUCCCAAGGGUAUGGCUGUUCGCCAUUUAAAGUGGUACGCGAGCUGGGUUUAGAACGUCGUGAGACAGUUCGGUCCCUAUCUGCCGUGGGCGCUGGAGAACUGAGGGGGGCUGCUCCUAGUACGAGAGGACCGGAGUGGACGCAUCACUGGUGUUCGGGUUGUCAUGCCAAUGGCACUGCCCGGUAGCUAAAUGCGGAAGAGAUAAGUGCUGAAAGCAUCUAAGCACGAAACUUGCCCCGAGAUGAGUUCUCCCUGAGACUUAGAGUCUCCUGAAGGAACGUUGAAGACGACGACGUUGAUAGGCCGGGUGUGUAAGCGCAGCGAUGCGUUGAGCUAACCGGUACUAAUGAACCGUGAGGCUUAACCUUACA